rnacentral:lncRNA from 1 species
AUGAGUGUUCCAGAAGCUGGCGGGAUGCAGAGUUGUCUCCUGCACACACAGACUCCAUGGCAACCGCAACUCCGUGACAACAGCAGAGGAAUUUGCCAGCCCAGAGAGCGGACCAUCUGGGAGGCCAAACCCUCCACAUGCUGCCCCAUCUCGGUGCUCACGUCCAGGGAACUUCUGCACAAAGCAGAGGUGACCUUUCAGUGGCAUAAGAAUAAACAGUGGGUGCCUGUGAAAUCCCUUGAAAGUAUGCAUUUACUGUCCCAGAGCAACAGAAGAGGAAGCAACAGGGACGAGAUUUGCACUGACAGGCAAGGCUCAUCCAGCUGGAAGGAAAGGCAAGAAGGAGCUGAGGCAAGCCCACCCUGCUCUCGAGUGUGAGCCCUUGACUGUCACUAAGGGAUCAAAGCAACCUGACUGAUGUACUGGUACAAACGCACCUCUGAAGUUCUCGUGUGUAUUGGGAGGACUUCCUGAACCAGGUGCCGCUGCGAAUGGAGGGUCCAGCUGUCUGGGAGUGCUGAAGUCCAGCCUGGCAGACCCCGAGGCUGUAGCACACUCUGUAAGGGGAUGGAGCGAGAAUGCUAGAGUGGGAGUCAGUUGGGCGGUACUGUGGACAUGAUGCCCCACAGCAGUGAUUUGCUCUGCAUCAGGUCGCCUAUCCCUUCACACGUGGCUCUCCUGGAGCCCACAGGCCAGCCCAGGCCCUACUUGGCGGUCUCCCCCUUCACCCUUCUCCAAGCCCGAGUCCUGCUUGAGCUGCCAGAGUGAGAUGAGCCAAAGUUGGGGGAAGGUGCAGCCUCCCAGGGCCCAGUCGGCUUCUUGUGCAAAAACAGGUGAGAGAACAUGGGAAAAGCGAACCCCGCUUCUGUGUGCAUGACCUGUGACCCCAUCUGCUGGGAAAUGCGGCCCCCAAGCAGAUGCAACCCAAACGUGAGAAGCACCCGCGGGCCCCUUCCACAGCAUCUGGAGACUGAUCGGAUAGCAAGGUCUGGAGCAGGGGGUUGAGAACGACCCUGAAGUUGGAGCCCAAGGGCCUGCACAUGUCCACAUCCCUUUUGGCCACCCUACCUGGCCCAGAGACAGACCAGGGGCAAGGGUGGGGAAGGGUCUUGGGAGUGGAACUGGAAGAGGGUCUGGUGAGGACCACCUCUGGGCACCAAGAGUGGGUGGGGCAGCCAGCCAGAGCCUGCUGGAACCCAGGACCCGGUAGUGGGGAGCCCACGGCCAAGUCCAAGCCUAGGGAUUGAAAGGUUCUCACUCAGCACUCAGAACUUGCUGGAAGCAGGACAGAGGGAGACACCCAGGAAGGAUUGUUUUCUCUCUGUGUGUGUUCAGUUGCUUCAGUCGUGUCCAACUCUGCAACCCUAUGAAACUGUAGCUCACCUGGCUCCUCUGUCCAUGGGAACCUGCUCUGAAAACCCUAGCCUUGGAGAUGACACUGGGACCAGUCAUAGUGAGCCGGGGGGGCAAGGCAGCAAGUUCCCC